rnacentral:rRNA from 1 species
GCGCCCCUACGGGACGCAGCAGUGGGGAAUAUUGCACAAUGGGGGAAACCCUGAUGCAGCAACGCCGCGUGAGUGAAGAAGUAUUUCGGUAUGUAAAGCUCUAUCAGCAGGGAAGAAAAUGACGGUACCUGACUAAGAAGCCCCGGCUAACUACGUGCCAGCAGCCGCGGUAAUACGUAGGGGGCAAGCGUUAUCCGGAUUUACUGGGUGUAAAGGGAGCGUAGACGGCAGGGCAAGUCUGGAGUGAAAGCCCGGGGCCCAACCCCGGGACUGCUUUGGAAACUGCCAUGCUGGAGUGCUGGAGG